rnacentral:lncRNA from 1 species
UGUCGUAGGAGUGGCGGUACCUCAAACGCCUACGACUUCGACGAACUCAAAUUCGGGAACGAAAUCACACUAUGACUCGAUAUGUUUUUUUUGGUUUAAAGAAAAACAAUGCAGAAUUUUUUUUAAUGGUUCCAGUAUUCGAAAACGAGGCAUUGCCUCAGUUUAUAUAGCCUUGAAUUGAGACUGUUCGGAAAGGCUUGGUGCCUGUU